AAUUUAUAUUUCAGUUUGAUGCUUUUAUUCUUGACAUUUACAUGUUUCUCUACAAAUAAAAUGAUUUAGUGGCUAAGAAGCAUGGACUCCAAAGCCAGAUUGCCUGGAUUCAAAUUCUGGAUUUACUACUGAUUCAGUGGAAGCCUACAGUAAAGAAACCUGUUUACCUCGGAGUUUCUCACACUUGGAAACCUUUUUGAACAUAUGUCUAUAAGCGUCUUGUGCAGGUGGAAGAAGUGAACUACAUGAUGACCAGACUGUAGCCAUGACCUAAGCUGCCACAAUUCCAAGAAUUGGCCUCAAAGAAAUGGAAACAAACCGACCCUGGAACUGAAGAUUAACUGUACCUAAAACAAUCGAGAUGAUGCUGGUCAGACCACCAAUGACCAAUUUCAAGAUGACUGUCAGAGCUGACUGUGCUGUUUCUGCACGUAGCCCCCUCCCUCUGUCUAUAAAGCUCUUGCCCCCUGAUUGUCAGGGUGGAAGUGGGCCUUUGGACAGGCUUGUGCCCUG